AGCGGGCUUCAAAUCUGAAGUGGGCUUCA
rnacentral:tRNA from 10 species